CGCUCUCUGGUAUUCAGGUAAGUACCUCGAAUAUUUCUUGAGCCGAUAAAUCACUCUCCGGGGACUAAAUUCUGGCAUUGUGUGCAUGUCCGCUCGACGGAAAGCCUAAUAUGUCAGUCGCUGUCCCCAAGCUGAACUCCAGGGUUCAAGGAGAGCGAGGACUACGGAAUUUCCGGAGAGUGC
rnacentral:other from 1 species